rnacentral:lncRNA from 1 species
AUGCGUGCUGUCCUGACCUUGGGUAACUCAGCUGCCCCGUCUCCCAGGUGCCUCUUCUCUCAGGUCCCAGGUGCAAGUGCUACGUGGUCUUCGACAUGCAGCCCAGAUUCAGCAUCUCCACGCACACCCUCGGCGGCAUGGAUUUCUCAGAGCCCCGGACUCGCUCACCUUGGACUCGCACUGCACCGGCUGGCGGCUCUUCUCCCUCCCCCCCCCAAGAAUGGGAGGAGCUCCGAGGCAGGAGAGGACCCAGCCCGCCCACCUGGCUCUUAUCUCCAGUAUCCACUCCGAUUGUGGAUCUUUGACCUUCACCCUGGAUGUGUUUGUCUCUGGCUCCCUGGGACCUCUAGUCACGGUGCCUCCUCUUCUCUGAGCACAAUUCUUCUGGGACCUUCUUCUCCUCUUCUGUAGGCUCAGGGGUGAGUCUGGAAGAGAAGCUGGUAUACCCCGUUCCUGUCCUACAUACUCCUGUCUAUCUCAGGACAGCACCCCUGCUCCUCCAAGGUAUUGUUGUUUUUUUUUUUUUGUUUUUGUUUUUGUCUUUUGUACCUACGGCAUAUGGAAGUUCCCAGGCUAGGGUCGAAUCAGAUCUGUAGCGCUGGCCUACGCCACAGCCACAGCAACACCACAUCAGAGCUGCAUCUUCAACCUAUACCAUAGCUCACGGCAACGCCAGAUCCUUAACCCACUGAGCAAGGCCAGGGAUCGAACCUCUGUCCUCAUGGAUGCCAGUCAGAUACUUUUCGCUAAGCCACAAGGGGAACUCCGCUCUGUGAUAUUCUGGGUUGUGACACUUCUCCGGCCCCAAGGCCAUCCUUAGCCCAUAGUGGGUCUGUAGUCCUCUGAAGCAAAAGGGUGAGAAGCAAGGGGCUGUGUCCUUAUACCUUCAUGCUUCCCUGGGCGGGGGGUAUCUGUGGCCCCAGCACGGGUCCUCUUGAGGCCAUGGUGCCGUUUCCUUGUGUGUCACAAGGGGGCAGUCCCUUGUCCUGGUGUUUCAUUGUGAAAAGUGCCUGCUCAUUACUUUGGGUUAGAUAACUACUACAGUAACGCGGUACUUUUGUUUGGUGCUGUAGGGUUUUCACAGAAUUGUUAGGAUAUUGAACUCAUUUUAUGGGCCGAGUGGCCCUCCAAAAUAGCUGUUAUCAUCCCCAUCAUGGAAUCAAGGCACCGAGGCCCAGAAGACCCAGGCUCGCACAGCUGCUGAGGGGCAGGGUUAGACCAGGCUCCAGUUUUCCCUCUGCCUCACUUGCUGCUCCACCAACAGUAUCAUGCUGUGUGAU